ACGAACGCUGGCGGCGUGCUUAACACAUGCAAGUCGCACGGAAAGGCCCUGCUUUUGUGGGGUGCUCGAGUGGCGAACGGGUGAGUAACACGUGAGUAACCUGCCCUUGACUUUGGGAUAACUUCAGGAAACUGGGGCUAAUACCGGAUAGGAGCUCCUGCUGCAUGGUGGGGGUUGGAAAGUUUCGGCGGUUGGGGAUGGACUCGCGGCUUAUCAGCUUGUUGGUGGGGUAGUGGCUUACCAAGGCUUUGACGGGUAGCCGGCCUGAGAGGGUGACCGGCCACAUUGGGACUGAGAUACGGCCCAGACUCCUACGGGAGGCAGAAGUGGGGAAUAUUGCACAAUGGGCGGAAGCCUGAUGCAGCAACGCAGCGUGCGGGAUGACGGCCUUCGGGUUGUAAACCGAUUUCGCCUGUGACGAAGCGUGAGUGACGGUAAUGGGUAAAGAAGCACCGGCUAACUACGUG
rnacentral:rRNA from 1 species